rnacentral:rRNA from 1 species
CAGCAGCCACGGUAAUACGUAGGUGGCAAGCGUUGUCCGGAAUUAUUGGGCGUAAAGCGCGCGCAGGCGGAUAGGUCAGUCUGUCUUAAAAGUUCGGGGCUUAACCCCGUGAUGGGAUGGAAACUGCCAAUCUAGAGUAUCGGAGAGGAAAGUGGAAUUCCUAGUGUAGCGGUGAAAUGCGUAGAUAUUAGGAAGAACACCAGUGGCGAAGGCGACUUUCUGGACGAAAACUGACGCUGAGGCGCGAAAGCCAGGGGAGCGAACGGGAUUAGAUACCCGUGUAGUCCCUGUCUCUUAUACA